UACGGAGGAUCCAAGCGUUAUCCGGAUUUAUUGGGUUUAAAGGGUGCGUAGGUGGUUUUUAAGUCAGGGGUGAAAGACGGCAGCUUAACUGUCGCAGUGCCUUUGAUACUGAAGAACUUGAAUUAACUAGAGGUAGGCGGAAUGUGACAAGUAGCGGUGAAAUGCAUAGAUAUGUCACAGAACACCAAUUGCGAAGGCAGCUUACUAUGGUUAUAUUGACACUGAGGCACGAAAGCGUGGGGAGCGAACAGG
rnacentral:rRNA from 1 species